rnacentral:rRNA from 1 species
ACUCGAGUGGCGAACGGGUGAGUAACACGUGGGUGAUCUGCCCUGCACUUCGGGAUAAGCUUGGGAAACUGGGUCUAAUACCGGAUAGGAGCCAUCUUUAAUGUGGUGGUUGGAAAGUUUUUUCGGUGUAGGAUGAGCUCGCGGCCUAUCAGCUUGUUGGUGGGGUAAUGGCCUACCAAGGCGGCGACGGGUAGCCGGCCUGAGAGGGUGUACGGCCACAUUGGGACUGAGAUACGGCCCAGACUCCUACGGGAGGCAGCAGUGGGGAAUAUUGCACAAUGGGCGCAAGCCUGAUGCAGCGACGCCGCGUGGGGGAUGAAGGCCUUCGGGUUGUAAACUCCUUUCGCUAGGGACGAAGCUUUGUUGUGACGGUACCUAGAUAAGAAGCACCGGCUAACUACGUGCCAGCAGCCGCGGUAAUACGUAGGGUGCGAGCGUUGUCCGGAAUUACUGGGCGUAAAGGGCUCGUAGGUGGUUUGUCGCGUCGUCUGUGAAAUUCUGGGGCUUAACUCCGGGCGUGCAGGCGAUACGGGCAUAACUUGAGUGCUGUAGGGGUAACUGGAAUUCCUGGUGUAGCGGUGAAAUGCGCAGAUAUCAGGAGGAACACCGAUGGCGAAGGCAGGUUACUGGGCAGUUACUG